rnacentral:rRNA from 1 species
AUUGAACGCUGGCGGCAGGCCUAACACAUGCAAGUCGAGCGAGCGGCGGACGGGGGAGUAAUGUAUGGGGACCUCCCGCUAGAUGGGGUUAAUUACUGGAAACAGUGGCUAAUACCGCAUACUGUCGUAUAACACAUUUGGGCUUGGCUAGUCGGUAAGGUGAUGGCUUACCUAGGCGACGAUCCCUAGCUGGUCUGAGAGGAUGAUCAGUCACACUGGGACGGAGACACGGCCCAGACGCGUACGGAGGCAGCAGUGGGGAAUAUUGCACAAUGGGCGCAAGCCUGAUGCAGCCAUGCCGCGUGUAUGAAGAAGGCCCUAGGGUUGUAAAGUACUGUCAGUCGGGAGGCGUUACCGACAGAAGAAGCACCGGCUAACUCCGUGCCAGCCGCCGCGGUAAUAC